rnacentral:rRNA from 1 species
UACGGGAGGCAGCAGUGGGGAAUUUUGGACAAUGGGGGCAACCCUGAUCCAGCAAUGCCGCGUGUGUGAAGAAGGCCUUCGGGUUGUAAAGCACUUUUGUCCGGAAAGAAAACCUCGGGGCCAAUACCUCUGGGGGAUGACGGUACCGGAAGAAUAAGCACCGGCUAACUACGUGCCAGCAGCCGCGGUAAUACGUAGGGUGCAAGCGUUAAUCGGAAUUACUGGGCGUAAAGCGUGCGCAGGCGGUUCGCUAAGACCGAUGUGAAAUCCCCGGGCUUAACCUGGGAACUGCAUUGGUGACUGGCGGGCUAGAGUAUGGCAGAGGGGGGUAGAAUUCCACGUGUAGCAGUGAAAUGCGUAGAGAUGUGGAGGAAUACCGAUGGCGAAGGCAGCCCCCUGGGCCAAUACUGACGCUCAUGCACGAAAGCGUGGGGAGCAAACAGGAUUAGAUACCCUGGUAGUCCACGCCCUAAACGAUGUCAACUGGUUGUCGGGUCUUCAUUGACUUGGUAACGUAGCUAACGCGUGAAGUUGACCGCCUGGGGAGUACGGUCGCAAGAUUAAAACUCAAAGGAAUUGACGGGGACCCGCACAAGCGGUGGAUGAUGUGGAUUAAUUCGAUGCAACGCGAAAAACCUUACCUACCCUUGACAUGUAUGGAACCUGGCCGAGAGGUCGGGGUGCCCGAAAGGGAGCCAUAACACAGGUGCUGCAU